CAUUUAUAAGAAACUCGCAUAAUUUUUGUUGUUACAAUCAGCGUUGCCAACUAGCUGAAGUUACUGUCAAUUCGGAAAAUAUUUAAGAGCGACUCUCUCAAACUUUUGAAUUGGUUUCCGCCGCUCUGCAUUAAUUCUUCCCGCUCGGUUUUUGCUGGUUUUCGCUCAGCUAUUGCCAUUUACGCUAUGUUGUUGUCUUCCAUUCGUUGCAGAAGAAACAUUGCAAUUACGAGUUGGCGGUAGUCAGUUGUCGGCAAAUUGGCGACAGUAGCAAUAAAAAUAAUAAUAUAUGAAAAGCUUGAAAUACUACUAUUUUUGAACAAAAGGAAAAAGUGUUUGUAGUGUUCUAACUAUUUUUUAAAAAUAAAAGAAAAAUCAAAUUUCGUGUAGUGUCAAUUUGGCGUAAAGGUUGCUUAGCUACGCAGUGCAAGGAUAACAAGUAACGAAAGCGUGUGAAAAAAGGUAGCAGUAGCUGCAAGAAAGCCGCACUGCAGGCUAAAUAUAUUUUAUAGUUUUUUUUUUUGAGUAGUCCACUGGCUGCAACGAAAUAAAGUUGAAAGGCAUUUAGCCAAAAAAGUACUGCAGUGAAAAGAAAACUCGUGAAAAUACGUAUAAACUAGCGCUUUUCCACAUAUCUGGUCAGAGGCUGCAGUUACGCCGCGACAUCCUGCACGCAGCUGUCGUGCCAGUGUCUACAAAUACGUGAAGAAGAUGCUUGCUUGUCGAGAUAAAUUUAUAAUAUUAGAAAAGUACACUUUCUGAUGUCUUCAAAUGACACAAUUUUAAGGAGUACUAAAAUGAAAUAAAUUCUGAUUUCCCUAUAUGAUAAACAAUUGAAAAGUGAAUUAUAUAAAUAAAAACAGUACAACUUUGUUAUUUAAUAUACCGUCGACUAUAAUUGCAACGAAGAGACAACAACUAACCACUCCGUCCUCAGUUGCUAAUCGUUUCGAAUAUACUACAAG
rnacentral:lncRNA from 1 species